rnacentral:rRNA from 1 species
CGGGAGGCAGCAGUGGGGAAUAUUGCACAAUGGGCGAAAGCCUGAUGCAGCGACGCCGCGUGAGGGAUGACGGCCUUCGGGUUGUAAACCUCUUUCAGCAGGGAAGAAGCGAAAGUGACGGUACCUGCAGAAGAAGCGCCGGCUAACUACGUGCCAGCAGCCGCGGUAAUACGUAGGGCGCAAGCGUUGUCCGGAAUUAUUGGGCGUAAAGAGCUCGUAGGCGGCUUGUCACGUCGGUUGUGAAAGCCCGGGGCUUAACCCCGGGUCUGCAGUCGAUACGGGCAGGCUAGAGUUCGGUAGGGGAGAUCGGAAUUCCUGGUGUAGCGGUGAAAUGCGCAGAUAUCAGGAGGAACACCGGUGGCGAAGGCGGAUCUCUGGGCCGAUACUGACGCUGAGGAGCGAAAGCGUGGGGAGCGAACAGGAUUAGAUACCCUGGUAGUCCACGCCGUAAACGUUGGGAACUAGGUGUGGGCGACAUUCCACGUCGUCC